rnacentral:rRNA from 1 species
CCUACGGGCGGCAGCAGUGGGGAAUAUUGGACAAUGGGGGCAACCCUGAUCCAGCCAUGCCGCGUGUGUGAAGAAGGCCCUCGGGUUGUAAAGCACUUUCAGUGAGGAAGAACGCCUGGUGGUUAAUACCCAUCAGGAAAGACAUCACUCACAGAAGAAGCACCGGCUAACUCCGUGCCAGCAGCCGCGGUAAUACGGAGGGUGCGAGCGUUAAUCGGAAUUACUGGGCGUAAAGCGCGCGUAGGUGGCUUGAUAAGCCGGUUGUGAAAGCCCCGGGCUCAACCUGGGAACGGCAUCCGGAACUGUCAAGCUAGAGUGCAGGAGAGGAAGGCAGAAUUCCCGGUGUAGCGGUGAAAUGCGUAGAGAUCGGGAGGAAUACCAGUGGCGAAGGCGGCCUUCUGGACUGACACUGACACUGAGGUGCGAAAGCGUGGGUAGCAAACAGGAUUAGAUACCCGUGUAGUC